rnacentral:rRNA from 1 species
AAUAUUGCGCAAUGGGGGAAACCCUGACGCAGCAACGCCGCGUGAGCGACGAAGGACUUCGGGUCGUAAAGCUCUGUCAAUAGGGACGAAGUCUAAUAAGUAAAUAGCUCAUUAGUGUAAGGUACCAAUACAGGAAGCCCCGGCUACCUACGUGCCAGCAGCCGCGGUAAUACGUAGGGGGCGAGCGUUGUCCGGAAUUACUGGGCGUAAAGGGCGUGUAGGCGGCUAGAUAAGUCAGGUGUGAAAACUGUGGGCUCAACCCAGAGAUUGCACCUGAAACUGUCUAGCUUGAGGGUAGGAGAGGAAAGUGGAAUUCCUAGUGUAGCGGUGAAAUGCGUAGAUAUUAGGAGGAACACCAGUGGCGAAGGCGACUUUCUGGCCUAACCCUGACGCUGAGGCGCGAAAGCGUGGGGAGCAAAC